UACGUAGGUGGCGAGCGUUGUCCGGAUUUACUGGGCGUAAAGCGCGCGCAGGCGGACUGAUCAGUCUGGGGUGAAAUCUCACGGCUCAACUGUGAGCGGUCCCUGGAUACUGUCAGCCUUGAGAUGUCUAGAGGAGAGCGGAAUUCCCGGUGUAGUGGUGGAAUGCGUAGAUAUCGGGAAGAACACCAGUGGCGAAGGCGCCUUGCUGGGCCAUCACUGACGCUCAGGGACGAAAGCGUGGGUAGCGAACGGG
rnacentral:rRNA from 1 species